rnacentral:lncRNA from 1 species
CUCAUUUCAGAGCCUGGCUUUUCUUGUGUCAAAGAAGAUAUGGGUGGACAAAGUGUUUCUUGUCUGUUGGCUGCUUCCAGCUUGACGCUUUCAAAUUCAUCUUUGGCGGAUUCAGCUGAAAGUGUUUUCCAAAUUCGAGUGCAAGACCUAGGGUUUUUGCUUCAUUUGAUAUCAGAUCUGAAUUCUCUCCCUAGCACUUAUAGUGUAGAAAGUCUUCAAAAGACUGGUUAUGUUAAAGUUGCUCAGGAGGCUUUUUUGGAGGCAAUUUUGAAACUGAACUGUGCUAAUGGUCUUCUUUGGGAACUAGAAUUAUCUAAAUCACACCUUAAUGUGGAAACUUGCUAUGAUACAACUGCUACUCUGAUUCGUUUGGCUUCUCAACUUCAGCAAUUAUUUGCCCCUGAUGUUGAGGAAUCCAUUGUGCAUUUGCAGAAUAGGUGGGAUACUGUUCAACAGGCACAGCAAAGGAGUGAAUUUAAUAAUGAAAGUAAGAAUCUCACACGUGAUAUGCUGGCUUCAACUUCUGAACAAUCCUCUCCAAAACAAUUUUCAAAGGAUGGGUCUAGUAUAGCUGGCUUGAUGGAUGAAAUAUGUGAAGAUGUAUUUCAAGUAAAUGACAACAAUACACGACAAUCUUGUUAUUUUGACCCAGGAUCUUGCAUGCCGCUUGAUGGAAGCAUGAUUGAGGUUGGUAAUAUGAAUUUGGAUGGGCCUGAAGUUCUCUCUCCUGAAUUAACUUUGUCUGAGUCAGUGCCUUUAAUAGGACAAGAAGGUAAUCACGCUUCAUUUCUGCAAGAUGGUUGCUUUCCAGAGAUUAUAGAAAGCUAUUGUUUGUCUGACUUACGCCCUCUGUCUGAGCUAUCUUCAAACAAACUAAGGAAUGUAGAACAUAGAAAUAUUGAUAGAGGAAGUGGCGGAUGGGAUGGAGGGUCCCCUUUUAAAGUUUUAGAAAACCACAUUUCAAAGGAAAAAGAAAANNNNNNNNNNNNNNNNNNNNNNNNNNNNNNNNNNNNNNNNNNNNNNNNNNNNNNNNNNNNNNNNNNNNNNNNNNAUAUUACAUCUAUGGCUGUUAGUUGUGGCACAGUUAUUGCUGUUGGCGGCCGAUUGGAUUGGUUUGAUGUAAUAUCAUCUUUUUUCAUAUUGCCGGCUCCUAAUACUAAAGAUGCAGGUGAUACUAGUGUUUCAGCGAAAGAACAAAAUCUCUCUUACACAACUUCUUUUGUUCUCAGCUUGAUUGAUAUUGCUUUUAGUUAUGAGCCCUACAUGAAAAAUCUGGUGGUGGUUCAGACUGAAGUUCUCAUUUCAGAGCCUGGCUUUUCUUGUGUCAAAGAAGAUAUGGGUGGACAAAGUGUUUCUUGUCUGUUGGCUGCUUCCAGCUUGACGCUUUCAAAUUCAUCUUUGGCGGAUUCAGCUGAAAGUGUUUUCCAAAUUCGAGUGCAAGACCUAGGGUUUUUGCUUCAUUUGAUAUCAGAUCUGAAUUCUCUCCCUAGCACUUAUAGUGUAGAAAGUCUUCAAAAGACUGGUUAUGUUAAAGUUGCUCAGGAGGCUUUUUUGGAGGCAAUUUUGAAACUGAACUGUGCUAAUGGUCUUC